UUAUGAUAUUUCAGUCCAGAAUACCGGACGAGAUCAGUCUCUGCAGUGUCCAUGAAGAGUGAUAGAUCAAUGGAAGCUGCAGUUAACUUCAAUAUUGAAGAUCAUUUACCUGGACAAAGUCCAGUACACCAGAAUAGAUCAGUCUCUGCAGUACCCACCUGUGUGUCCAUGAAGAGUGACAGAUCAAUGGAAGCUCCAGUAAAGUUUGAUAUUGGAGAUCCUUUACCUGGACACAGUGCAAUCCAGCAGAAAACAUCAGAUUUCCCUGUUCCCAGCUGUGUGUCCAUGAAGAGUGACAAGUCAAUGGAGGUUCCAAUAAGGUUAAAUAAUGAAGACCCAACAUCUAGGCCGAGGUAAAAAAUCAUCACAGUUAGUGUAGCUCUAGCUGCGUGCGUACCUUAACUUAGACACAAGCCAUCUGACCA
rnacentral:lncRNA from 1 species